CUCGGUGAGGCCUUCGGACUGGCCCAGGGAGGUCGGCAACGACCACCCAGGGCCGGAAAGUUGGUCAAACCCGGUCAUUUAGAGGAAGUAAAAGUCGUAACAAGGUCUCCGUAGGUGAACCUGCGGAGGGAUCAUUA
rnacentral:rRNA from 2 species